GACGAACGCUGGCGGCGUGCCUAAUACAUGCAAGUCGAACGCUUCUUUCCUCCCGAGUGCUUGCACUCAAUUGGAAAGAGGAGUGGCGGACGGGUGAGUAACACGUGGGUAACCUACCCAUCAGAGGGGGAUAACACUUGGAGACAGGUGCUAAUACCGCAUAACAGUUUAUGCCGCAUGGCAUAAGAGUGAAAGGCGCUUUCGGGUGUCGCUGAUGGAUGGACCCGCGGUGCAUUAGCUAGUUGGUGAGGUAACGGCUCACCAAGGCCACGAUGCAUAGCCGACCUGAGAGGGUGAUCGGCCACACUGGGACUGAGACACGGCCCAGACUCCUACGGGAGGCAGCAGUAGGGAAUCUUCGGCAAUGGACGAAAGUCUGACCGAGCAACGCCGCGUGAGUGAAGAAGGUUUUCGGAUCGUAAAACUCUGUUGUUAGAGAAGAACAAGGACGUUAGUAACUGAACGUCCCCUGACGGUAUCUAACCAGAAAGCCACGGCUAACUACGUG
rnacentral:rRNA from 1 species